AAAAUAGAAAUUGCAAGGGAAAACAAUAUAAAACUCGUACAAGUAUUGCUGUAAAAAUAUGCUUAAGCUGCUGGAAAAGAAAAAAUGCGAAAAAGCGAAAACGGCAAAGAAAGCUGGAAAAAGUGUGGAACCGAGAGCUUUCUAAAAAGCUCUAUUUAUACUGAUACUUAUUGCAACUGCUUCCAAGGGUUUUCCGUAAAUAUAGCCAUUACGUUGUAAAAGGGUCAAGCGUGAAAGUAGCUUCAAC
rnacentral:lncRNA from 1 species